rnacentral:misc_RNA from 1 species
UCCGGUUUGACACCGGCAGUCUCGCUAGAGUCCCCGGCAUGACCCGCUGGUAACUAGCGAUAGGGGUUGCGCUCGUUAGAGGACUUAACCCGACACUUCACAGCACGAGCUGACGACAGCCAUGCAGCACCUGUGCACGUUCCACCCGAAGGUGUGGCUCUACUUUCAUAAAGUUAAUCCGUGCAUGUCAAACCCAGGUAAGGUUCUUCGCGUUGCCUCGAAUUAAGCAACAUGCUCCACCGCUUGUGUGAGCCCCCGUCAAUUCAUUUGAGUUUUAGUCUUGCGACCGUACUCCCCAGGCGGUGCACUUAAUGGUUUUCCUACGACCGAAACAGCGUGAGAGCUGCUCCGAUCCAGUGCACAUCGUUUACGGCGUGGACUAC